CAAUAGCGUAUAUUUAAGUUGUUGCAGUUAAAAAGCUCGUAGUUGGAUUUCGGGUGGGACGCAGCGGUCUCGCAUUGCGUUUGCACUGCUGCAGCCCUCCUUCUUGCCGGGGGCGGCCUCUCGGACUUCACUGUCUGGGGGUCAGAAUCGGCGAUGUUACUUUGAGUAAAUUAGAGUGUUCAAAGCAAGCUUACGCUCUGAAUAUAAUAGCAUGGGAUAACACGACAGGACUCUGGCCUAUCGUGUUGGUCUAUAGGACCAGAGUAAUGAUUAAGAGGGACAGUCGGGGGCAUUCGUAUUCCGUUGUCAGAGGUGAAAUUCUUGGAUUUACGGAAGACGAACAUCUGCGAAAGCAUUUGCCAAGGAUGUUUUCAUUG
rnacentral:rRNA from 1 species